rnacentral:rRNA from 1 species
GAUGAACGCUGGCGGCGUGCCUAACACAUGCAAGUCGAACGGAGUUACGAGAGCUUGCUUUUGUAACUUAGUGGCGGACGGGUGAGUAAUGUAUGAGCAACCUGCCUUUCAGAGGGGGACAACAGUUGGAAACGACUGCUAAUACCGCAUAAUGUGCGUUGAGGGCAUCCUCGAUGUACCAAAGGAGCAAUCCGCUGAAAGAUGGGCUCAUAUCUGAUUAGUUAGUUGGCAGGGUAACGGCCUACCAAGACUGCGAUCAGUAGCCGGACUGAGAGGUUGAACGGCCACAUUGGGACUGAGAUACGGCCCAGACUCCUACGGGAGGCAGCAGUGGGGAAUAUUGGGCAAUGGGCGAAAGCCUGACCCAGCAACGCCGCGUGAAGGAAGAAGGUCUUCGGAUUGUAAACUUCUUUUAUGAGGGACGAAGGACGUGACGGUACCUCAUGAAUAAGCCACGGCUAACUACGUGCCAGCAGCCGCGGUAAUACGUAGGUGGCGAGCGUUAUCCGGAUUUACUGGGUGUAAAGGGCGCGUAGGCGGGGGCGCAAGUCAGGUGUGAAAUCUAUGGGCUUAACCCAUAAACUGCACUUGAAACUGCAUCUCUUGAGUGCUGGAGAGGCAGAUGGAAUUCCUUGUGUAGCGGUGAAAUGCGUAGAUAUAAGGAAGAACACCAGUGGCGAAAGCGAUCUACUGGACAGUAACUGACGCUGAGGCGCGAAAGCGUGGGG